rnacentral:rRNA from 1 species
ACGGAGGGUGCAAGCGUUAAUCGGAAUUACUGGGCGUAAAGCGCGCGUAGGCGGCUAAGUAAGUCGGGUGUGAAAGCCCCGGGCUCAACCUGGGAACUGCAUUCGAUACUGCUUGGCUAGAGUAUGAGAGAGGGAGGUAGAAUUCCACGUGUAGCGGUGAAAUGCGUAGAUAUGUGGAGGAAUACCGGUGGCGAAGGCGGCCUCCUGGCUUAAUACUGACGCUGAGGUGCGAAAGCGUGGGGAUCAAACAGG